CGCGCCCCCCCCCCAUUGGCUACAGUCGGGGACCCCUUCAUGCAGCUGACUCCCCAUUGGCUGAAGCCGGGGACCGCGAGAUCCUUCGUGGUCAGAGAACAACUUGAGAGAGAGUCACUGAUCUCUUCCUGCAUAUGGAUUCCAGGGCUCUCACGCGGUCCUCAGCUUGGCAGCGUGCAGCCUUCUCCACUGGGUCACCUUGCCAGCCUACUGUGUGCUUCCUGAGUACAAGGUCUCAUUAUGUAGCCGUGGCUGUCCUG